GAAGAUACUCAAGCAGCCCUAUGGAGAGGCCCACACACUGGGGAGGCACUGCGGCUUUCUGCCGACAGCCUUGUGAAUGAGACACCUUGAAAGAGGAUCCUCCAGCCCCAGCCAAGCUUUCAAAUGGUUCCAACUCUGACAUGCUGACAACUUCAUGAGAGGCCCUGAGCCAGAACCACCCAAACUCCUGACCCAUUAGUGUGUUAUGUAACAAAUGUUUGUUGUUUCAUGCCACUAAGUUUUGGGGCAAUUUGCUACCUCUAGCCAUUGUUCCCAGCUGGUGUGUAGUCUGACUGGCAGGUGCCCAUGCUUUAUUAGUGGUUUGAUAUUUUGACUAUCGGCCCUGAGUAGGAGGAAUGACACAGAGAGGAGAUAGAGUUGUGAGUGAGAGGAGGCCAAAUCGUGGUGUCAGAGCGAGAAGCAGCACCCUGGGGAGGGCUGAGUCACUUGUGCUGUCUGGAGGAAGGCGGAGCAAAGAUCUGCAGCCCAGCUGACUGUGGUCUCAGCUUUUCUAGCCUCCAGGCUUUCUCCCGGGUUCCUAAGUCUGUAUGUGCUCACUGGAAAUGCCCCAUGACUUGGGGUGACAUGGGUGAGUUUUCUUCCUCCUUCCUCCCAGAGCCACGCCAGACCUGAUGCUGGAGGGCUGGGCUCUUGUCCUAGUUCCCCGUCCUGGGCUGGGCCCAGGGCACCGGCCAGUGGGAGAAACUGCCUUCUCCGCCUCCUACAUGCACUGGUGGUCACACCUCGCCCCACAUCAGCCUCUCCAGCCAGAAAAAAUUCAAACUUAGAUGAUUUCCGAAGAUCUUAAUAAUCAGGACAACCGUGAACUUCUCAUGCAACCGUCAAUGCCUGAGACAAUGGAGUGAAAGCUACCAGAUCCUUAAGAGAAAAGUGUCCCCCAGGACUCUUAAAGCCACCAGCCCUGAUGUUGGCCACGGGAAAAGACAAUCAAGGAAAAUCUCCGACCUUCGGUGAAAUGCAGAGACUAAGGGACCCCUGUGCUGCGUGUGAUGCGAUUUUGAGAGAAAAAAAAAAAAAAAGGCCAGGUGUGGUGGCUCACGCCUGUAAUCCCAGCACUUUGGGAGGCCCAGACAGGAGGAUCCCUUGAGCUCAGGAGUUAGAGACCAUUCUGGGCAACAUGGCAAAACCCUGUCUCUACAAAACAAAACAAAACAAUACAAAACAAAACAAACAGAAAAAUAGCCAGGUGUGGUGGCACGUGCCUGUGGUCCCAGCUACCCUGGAGGCCUAGGCGGGGAGAUCGCUUGAGCCUGGGAGGUCGAGGCUUCAGCGAACCAAGAUCACGCCACUGCACUCCAGCCUGGGCCACAGAGCAAGAUUGUCUUAAAAAUAAAACAAAACAAAAACUAA
ensembl:lncRNA LINC01585 long intergenic non-protein coding RNA 1585